rnacentral:rRNA from 1 species
GACGAACGCUGGCGGCGUGCUUAACACAUGCAAGUCGAACGGAAAGGCCUGCUUUCCCUUGUGGAUUGCGGGUACUCGAGUGGCGAACGGGUGAGUAACACGUGAGUGAUCUGCCCCCAACUUGGGUAUAAGCCUGGGAAACUGGGUCUAAUUCCCGAUAGGACUGCAGGGUGGUGCCUGUGGUGGAAAACGAUUUUCUAGUGGUUGGGGAUGAGCUCGCGGCCUAUCAGCUUGUUGGUGGGGUAAUGGCCUACCAAGGCGGCGACGGGUAGCCGGCCUGAGAGGGUGGGCGGCCACAUGGGAACUGAGAGACGCACCGGACUCCUACGGGGGGAAGCAGGGGGGAGUAUGGAACAGGGGGCGGAAGCCGGAUGCGGCGACGCGGGGGGGGGGAUGCCGGCGUUGGGGUUGAAACCUCCUUGCGACGGGGAGGAACCCACGGGUUUGGAGGGGGGGGGAGGUUGGUGGAAAAAGAAGCCCGGGCAAACUACGUG